UCCAUGCAGGGCGUUCGUCCGCUACAUGACCCCAAAUUCCAAAAACAGAAGUCUAAAGUUCGAGAGCCUCUCUCUCUAAAAACUAGAGAGAGAAAACAGAUCUGCAACCAACACCCCUCCCCCUCCUCUCUUGCCCUGAUCUUGAUCCCUCCGGAUCCAGAUCGUUGGCUCGAGGGUUGGGGGCGGCUCUUCUUCAUUUUGUUUUCUUCGGUUGUCUUCUUCAACGCUGUGCAGGAGCUUUGGGUCAGGCUGGGGACGCUUGGAUCCUGGUCGGUUCGUCCCGCUGGUGUGGUGCGGAGGUGAGGCGCGGUUGAGCGGUGGCUGUGGCGGUGGCGGAAAGGCCAGUUCCCGGAUCGGUUUCUACCGCGGUGGUUCCACGGCUGCCUUGGGAUCGGGUUGCAGUUGUCGAAUAGAUUCAAUCUAUGGUGGCGCGGUAAUGUGCUGCGGUGUGGCAUGACGCUGCGGUGGUGGAAUAGAUGGAAGCCAGUUCGGGUUCGACUAUGGUGGCUGCUCGGGCUGCGGUGCUUUGGGUUCGUUCGAAUGGUGGUGGCUGAAGAUAGUCGGGUCGGGUCGUGGUCAUGAGAUGGGCAUAAUCAAAGGGAAGUUGGAUCAUUUGAAAAGAUCUGUUGAGGCUUCAUGAAACGGCUCUUCUUCGUCAUCAUCAUACUCUUUUUGAUGCUUUGAGGAAUUACUGCUCUGUUAGAAUCGAAAGAAGAGGAGAAGAAUUCCGUUUCGAUAAAUACUGGGUUUAAGGUCUUUGUGGGUUUUGAAAGGCUGAACAUUGGAGGGGUUUUGUUUGGCCUGCAGUUUGGAAUGUGGUUAUCUGGGCGAUUGAUUGAUUGGGUUUCAAGGUACUAAAGCUUGGGCUACUUUUGAUUGCCAAACUUUCUUUCCAUUUUGCUGAUCAACCAAGAAGCUUCUCCCAUAACUGAAGUAAGAAACCAUCUUGAUAUGCUAAUGUUUCUGAACAAGAUAGUCUAUAAUAUUCGAGACCAAGUAAAGAUCACAUGCUCAACUUAAGUUGCUAGUAGCUGCUGGCAUGUUUAAAUGUUAAAGUUUAUAACAGGGCAGAGUUAUACCAAUAGUUGCUUCAAAUAUAGUUAUCUGUUCAGAUUCAUGGCUCGUGGUUAGUAUCACUUGUUCAUAAUGAGAAUGUACGUUUAACUAGGAAUUAGAUAAGAUUAGAAUGUACGUUUAACUAGGAAUUAGUUACAAGAAGUGCUUGUAGUCAAGUAUAUUGUAACGAGUAAUAGAUACAAUGACGUUUUGGGAUUGUAAAGAUUAUUUGUAUGUAAAUGUCUUCUUUUUGUUUCAA